ACUACGGGAGGCAGCAGUAGGGAAUUUUCGGCAAUGGGGGGAACCCUGACCGAGCAACGCCGCGUGAACGAAGAAGUUAUUCGUAAUGUAAAGCUCUUUUAACAGGGAAGAAAGAGAAAUUUGACGGUACCUGAAGAAUAAGCUCCGGCUAACUACGUGCCAGCAGCCGCGGUAAUACGUAGGGAGCGAGCGUUAUCGGGAAUUAUUGGGCGAAAAGGGUGCGUAGAUGGCAUAGUAAGUCUUUGGCAAAAAUGCUGGGCUCAACCCAGUAGGGCAAAAGAUACUGAAACGCUAGAGUAUGACAGAGGCAAGUGGAACUAGAUGUGUAGCGGUGAAAUGCGUAAAUAUAUGUAAGAACACCAGUGGCGAAGGCGGCUUGCUGGGUCGAUACUGACAUUGAGGCACGAAAGCGUGGGGAGCAAACAGGAUUAGAUACCCCGGUAGUC
rnacentral:rRNA from 1 species